rnacentral:rRNA from 1 species
UACGAAGGGGGCAAGCGUUACUCGGAAUUACUGGGCGUAAAGCGUGCGUAGGUGGUUUGUUAAGUCUGAUGUGAAAGCCCUGGGCUCAACCUGGGAAUGGCAUUGGAUACUGGCAGUCUAGAGUGCGGUAGAGGGUAGCGGAAUUCCCGGUGUAGCAGUGAAAUGCGUAGAUAUCGGGAGGAACAUCCGUGGCGAAGGCGGCUACCUGGACCAGCACUGACACUGAGGCACGAAAGCGUGGGGAGCAAACAGG